UUAAAUCCUGGACAAGCCCCAGCAGC
rnacentral:piRNA from 1 species